rnacentral:rRNA from 1 species
UACGGGGGGGGUAAGCGUUGUUCGGAAUUACUGGGCGUAAAGGGCUCGUAGGCGGCCAACUAAGUCAGACGUGAAAUCCCUCAGCUUAACUGGGGAACUGCGUCUGAUACUGGAUGGCUUGGAUUCGGGAGAGGAAUGCGGAAUUCCAGGUGUAGCGGUGAAAUGCGUAGAUAUCUGGAGGAACACCGGUGGCGAAGGCGGCAUCCUGGACCAAUUCUGACGCUGAGGAGCGAAAGCCAGGGGAGCAAACGGG